rnacentral:lncRNA from 1 species
GGAGAUGAGAGAUUGAUUGGAGAGAAUGGAAGGAAAAACAAGCAAGAGGAGAACCUACCUCGAAAAUUUGGAUUCAAUGUGAUAUCUCUUGAUCCGCAUCAGAUUUUGGUGAGAUUUCUCUCGGUCAAAGUCAACAAAUCUUGUUCUGAGGUCUGUAAUCUUUGAAAAUAGGGAGAGAAACUGACAGGGGUGUUGGGCGG